GAUGAAGAACGUAGCGAAAUGCGAUAAGUAGUGUGAAUUGCAGAAUUCAGUGAAUCAUCGAAUCUUUGAACGCACAUUGCGCCCCUUGGUAUUCCAUGGGGCAUGCCUGUUCGAGCGUCAUUUGUACCUUCAAGCUUUGCUUGGUGUUGGGUGUUUGUCCCUCGGGACUCGCCUUAAAGUCAUUGGCAGCCAGAGUUUUGGUUUUGAAGCGCAGCACAAGUCGCGAUUCAAGGCUAUCCGCCCGCUUCCACAAGCCUUUUUCACUUUUGACCUCGGAUCAGGUAGGGAUACCCGCUGAACUUAAGCAUAUCAAUAAGCGGAGGA
rnacentral:misc_RNA from 1 species